AUUAUUCAUAGUUUUGACUAUAGUGUGUCCUUCAGUUUUACAACAAAUAUGGCAGUCUUUGAUAAUCUAUCGCGAAUAGAAAAGUUAAUAAUUUAUUAUUUUCCUUCAAAUAAAAUUGCAAUCAUUGCACAGAGUUAUUAAUUAUGAUUAAUUACAGUUUUACGCGUUGACAGUGUUAAAUAGUUUUAUUAAGCAAAUUGAAUAACCUAUAAUGAUAGAAAGGUUAAAUAGAUAGAAAGAAAGUAAUAAACUAUUUUAUAUAAAAAUGGCUGCAUUAAACAAUAUAUUAAAAGCUAUAGAUGCAUUAAAGGUAUUACAGGAAACCAUGGUUUCAUCUGAUCCUGUAAUAAGAAAAGAGAAGAUAAUGCAUUGUACAGUAAUUGCUGAAGGAUUAUGUUCAACAAAUACUAAAUUGAUAUCUAAAUAUCCACAAAUUUUUGGUUGUUCGAUAAAAGCAUUAUUGGCACUAUGUGACGACGCAGAAGCUGAUGUGAGAAUGAUUGCUGAUGAAUGUCUGAAUAAAAUUAUAAGGACUAUGGCAGACGGUGAUAUUGUUAAAAUUCAAAUAGAGUUAUAUAAUGGAAUCAAAAGUAAUGGACCUGCUCGAACUUUGAGAGCUGCUCUUUGGAGAUUCGGUUUACUUAGUCACAUGAUUCGUCCUACGAGAGGAAAAGCAUACGUAUCGAAUUUAAUACCAUGUAUUACUGUCAUAGCGCAUAGGCCAGAAGAAUCAGUAAUAGAUACACUUGCACAAGCAUUAAAAUUAAUUCUCAAAACGUUGGGGCCAUUUAUGACGGAUAACGAUGUAAAGACGUUGCUUAAAGCAUUAUUUCAAAAUAUAUCGUCGACUCAAGCUGCAUUUCGUAGAGCUGCAGCAAAUAUGAUUUUAACGACCUGCUUAAAUUGUAGGAAACCUCAAGCUUUUUUAUGUUAUGUAUUAAAUUAUUUAUUAGAUUCUAUUAUACCAGUAAGUGAUGACAUAGAUCACUUGAAUAAAGUUAUUGGUGUUUUUGGAUGCAUAAAAGUGAUUUUACCAUAUAUGUCUACACCAACGGAAUGUGAAUCUAGCGACAAACAACAAUUGGAAAAUUUUUUACAAAUUUAUGAGUUAUGCUUGUACUACACCAAGUGGCAUUCAAAUCAUAAUUUAAUAAAUGCUGCUUUGGAAACGUUGGCUCAACUUUUGCAAUCUCCAUCAAGUGCAUUCAAAUAUUUAUUGUUGUCUAAAGAAGGUAUUACUCAUAGUAGAAUUGAGUUGAAUCAAGAAGCAGCUACGAUAUCUUUGGGUCAAAUAAGUACUUCAACAGCUACAAGUAUUUCUGGAGGCAAUUCUGAUUCCACAUUGAAUUUGCUUGAACCGGAAAUGCCGCAAUUGAAUUCAACGAUAGGAAAUUGGAUUAUGGAUUCAGAAAUGGUACUUCCAUUGAUACAAAAAUCAGAAACGCGAGAAACAUGUUCAAGUGAUGCAACAGAAACGAAAGGGAAAACGAUGGAAAAUUAUAGUGAAUUAAAAAUAGAGACUUUAGAGGGAGACGGCAUCGAGGAAGGAAGCGAUGCUGGAAGCGAAAUAGAACAAAUAGAAAACAUACCAUAUUCAAGCUUACAAAGCAAUCACAUGAAAGAAGAUGAAUAUUUGGAUGAAGCUUCGAUAUCUGUAGCCUCUCCACAAAAAUUGUCAAUGGAAUUGCCAUUGCACGAAAUCAAUAUUGGGACUUAUACAGAUUCUGAUAUGCCCGUCAAAUUUUGUUGUCGUUAUUUAGUUUCAUCAUUUUUGUUAACAGGCAGUGCUGAUCACUUAAUGCCUGAUAAAUUAUUUCGUGUCAGUGUUAAAUCUCUUGCUUUAACAUGCGUAGCCAACAUUUUAAGACUUUAUCCAGAUUUACUUCUAAUGACAGUUGCCAAAGAUUCUACUCAUUCGGAUAAACAAAUGAUUAAAGAUAUUUUAUUAUUUGCAAAUCAUUCGGAUCCUCAAAUCAGAGCCAAUGUAUCGAUUCUUAUUGGAUUAUUUUUGAAAACAGUUUUUACACAGUAUGGCGGAUCUUUUAAGAAUUUUCAGCCUGAAAAUUUAAAUAGUAAAGCAAACGAAAGUUCAUUAUUGGAAAAUAUGAUAAAAUUACUUAUAAAAGGUUUAGAGGAUGAUUCUGCUACAACAUGUCGCCAAACAUUAACAGCAUUAAAUUUAUGCUUACCAGAAAUCCUAAAUUCUGUAGAUAGUCAAUAUGGAAUAACCAUUUUAUUUGAAUUACCCAGGCUUAUUAAAAAUCCAUAUUUUCUCGUCAAAGUUAAAUUAGCAGAUUUGCUAAGUAAUUUAUCAUACAUCACUAUAGAACACAUAACAGGUGAUGCAUUAUUUCAACAACAUUUUAUCGAUGUUAUAAUAAUUUUAUUAGGAGAUCAGGAUAAAAGAGUUAGACAUGCAGCAUCUGAAGCAAUUGUUAAAAGUAUUCCAUUAUUAUAUUUUAAACAUCCGCAGGAAAGUGCUGUUGUAAAAAAAGCAGCUCAAUAUACAGAAAAGUAUUUAUCAACUCUAAUGUCAAAUACUUUAAGAAUACCUUCAUAUUAUGAUAGACAUAAAAUAUGCAUAAAUAAUACAGUCAAGCCGUUUACAUCUUUAAAUGAUCAUAGUGACAAGAAAUAUCACGUAAAUACAGAGGACUCCUUAUCUCGAAUUGUUAGCAUCUUAACUGAAAUACUCAUGGUUGAUUCAUCUAAGUAUAUGGUAUAUGGUUGUUGUGAAGCUCUUGCUCAAUUAAGUGAAGUUUAUAAUACUGUAGUUUAUGUCAGAGGAUGGGAUUGUAUACUUCCCAAAGCAUUGCUUAAAAAAUCUCAUAAAAAGGCUGUUAGUCGAGUAGACACAACAAACGAAAACAAUUUUUCUAUUGAAAUAACGUCUCCGAUUGGUAGUGGUCUACUUUCUUUGUUGUUGCCUUUGUUGUCUUCAUCUGCAAUAAGUUUGGAUUUAUCAACGCAUAAACAUUUAAUUUCUCUUGCGGGUAAUCUUGCAUCAGGGUUGGCUCUUUGCAAUCUAAAACCUAACGAACCAACAAACAAACAUGAUUCUGAUACAUCAAAUCUUUGGCGUAUGUUUAAAGAUAAACAAACUUGUCAGUAUAUGGAAUUAUUAUUGGCUCAUGUUAUAAGAGUUCUAAAUAUUUUCGUUCAUGUUAUUGAUGAUAUACAGUUAAAUCAAUUAAGUACAAAAUCACUAUCUUUGUCAGCUGCGCAUACUUUAUCUCCAAAGAAAAAAGUAGUUCCUGAACAGAAACAAAAAGAAAAAAAGGAUAAGUUUUUAAAUUUAAAGUUUGAAAAAGAACAAAUGGGAUUAUUCAUUACUAUUCCGCAUUAUAUGAAGAUGUAUGACAAUCUCAAAGCAGCACAUUCUAAUUAUCUUGUUACUCUUGAACCAGAGGCUAGCGAAAUGUAUAUUGCAUUAUUAACUGCUAUACUGGAUACUCUUUCGCAAAUUCUUGAGAUAGCCACUUUUAAUGAAGCUGGCGGGAUAGCAGAUGAAAUUCUCUAUUACCUGCAGACAACUGUUACUUUAUCACCAACUGCAACUAUUCAAUGUGUACAGCAAUUGUUGAAAUGCUUGUUCGGUAAAAAUCUUGGUACUCAGUGGAAUGAACAGGAUAUGCAACAAUAUGCAGAACAGAAUAUUGCGUUGAGAGAUACUUCUAAAGGCUUUUAUAAUCAAUGUUUUCAAAAUCCAGCUAGACAUAUGGCAGAUAUGAUCAAAAUAAUAGGAAAUAAUUGCAGAGAUGAAAAUAAACCAGACACUGGGUGGAUAGGUUUAACACGUAGAAAAGGAGAUAGAAAAUUAUCAUACAUCUAUGCUUCGGAUCAUAAAGCUUCUGUAGCUACUUUUAUUCGUUUAUUUGAACCAAUGGUUAUAAAGUCUAUGGAACAAUAUACUAUCACAAGCAAUAUUUCAUUGCAAUGUCAAGUGCUUAUGCUUCUGAGUCAACUGAUUCAACUGAAAGUUAAUUAUUGUUUGUUAGAUUCAGAUAAGAUAUUUAUUGGAUUCGUAUUAAAGCAGUUUGAAUUCAUAGAGGAGGGUCAGAUACAACAAGCAGAGCAUCUUUUACCAAAAAUUUUUAGUUUUUUGGUGCAUUUAUCUUAUGAAAAAAAUCACUCGAAGGUUGUAAUAGGUAUUCCUAAAAUAAUACAAUUAUGUGAUGGACUUAUGGCAAGUGGACAGCCAGCACUUAAAUAUUGUAUACCAGCUCUUGCACCUGUGGUCGGAGAUAUUUUUCUUAUUCGUAAUGAAACUUCUAAUCAAGCAGAAAGAGAAUUGGAAACAACCAAAGAAGUAUUAAUUUCAAUGCUACUUCGUCUAGUGGAAUAUCACGAAGUCAUCGAGCUUUUAGCACUGUGUGUCUCAGAAUCUAGAUUUAGUGGAGAUGGAAAUGGAGAAGAAAAAUGGAGAAGAUGGUCUAGAAUGACUACAGAUACUAUACUUCCCAUGUUGGGAAUGCGUCAAGUAAGACUGGAAUGGGAAAAUGCUCAUAUGGCUUUAGUCAAAUUGUUUGCUGCAAUUUCUCCUACUGUUUUCAGACCAGUAGAUCCACUUUUAAAAGUACUCUUUACUAUGCCUGCUACUUUGAAAGAACCAGUUUUUAAUUUAAAACGUUGGUUGGGAAUGAUCAAUGUUAUAUUGUUAACUCUUAUCUCUUGUGCUAAAGAGGACUCAAUGUUAGCACGACUAUCGGAUCUUAGCGUAUAUAUGACAGAUCUUUCACACUUGUUAUUAUUUCCAGAUAAUAUGUUUAAAGUUAUAGAUCCAUUGAAUGCACUUGGAACUCAGUCUGCACAAAUACCACCAGAAAAAAUUUUAGCAAGAUUCAUAUUUAAAGUAAUUAGCCUGAUAGGCACGAAAAUUUUUAAUAUUCUAGGAUUAAUUAAUCACAAAGCUAUAGAUCCUUAUACAGGAUUUGCUCAACACACAGAUAACGAUGACUACCUGGUGCAUCAAUUUGCAUUCUUUUUACAAUUGUGCAUACACAUGUUUGAGUCUGGAAGUCAUUGUAAAGUGGCAAAUGCAGCAAUGCAAAUGAUUCAAGAUCGUAAUACCCUUGAUGAGGACAAGUUUCCGAUAGACAAUUUAAAUUCUUUAAUGGUAAGCAUUGGACAUGUGUGUCCAAUGUUGACUUGUCAAUGGGCUUAUUUAAUGACAUUAUUAAGCUAUAAUGAGAUGUUAUUUUGGUCUAAAGUUUUGGGCACACGAAAUUCAGAUUACAUAGUAAGAACUCUUCCCAAUGAGACUAAAGUAUACGAUCAUGUAAACAGCAUAAAUGUACAAAUUAUUCAUAAAGGAGGAAUCAUAUUAUUUUGUGAUUAUGUAUGUGAAAAUCUCAAUGAUGCAGAACCUUUAACAUGGUUAUUGGUGAAUCAUAUUGAAGAAGCAAUACACAUAGCUACUGAAUCUCCAGUAAGAGAACUUCUAGCAGCAGCUAUACAUAGAAAUCCUGCUGCCAGUGGUCUCUUAGUACAAGCUAUUUCAACAAAAUGUGUUAAUUUAUCACAACCCAGCUUUGUAAAACGUUUAUUGCAAUGCAUCGAAGAUGCACAUCAAUCUCAAAGUGGUGCAGUCAUAAUGAUGUUAAUUCCAAAAUUUUUAUCCACCAAAUAUCUUGCUUUAUCAAGAAUGGCAGCAAAAAUGGCUAGUAGAAGAAUCGAAAUUUUAUUAACAUUGAACGCAACAGAUGUUAUAGAACAAUUCCCAAAAAAUGAUUUAAUAAAGAUCAUGGAUACAUUACAGACUACUAAGCUAGCUAAGAAACAUGGAGCACUAGUUAACUUAUUGAAUAAAUUAGGAGUACAUUUUUACGAUCUUUCACCUUUCGAACCUGAUUUAUGUAGACCUUUUAAUCCAUUAAUCGUAAAAACAAUUCAACUAGAUCGCGAUUGGUUUCUCUCACAAAUAAAAUUACAUUGUUGUCAUCAGAAUAUUACAUAUAAUACUUAUGAAUCAGCACAAUUAUUGAGUAAUUUAAAUUUUGAAGACUGUUUGAGUAUUAUUUCUUGUAAGGAGUUUGAUAUAAUGAUUUUAAAAGACUGCAUAACAUUGGGUAUAAGAUUGACUAUCGAGAAUUGCCAAAGGUUAGAGUUAGGAAAAAUUAAUAACGAAAAAAUUCAUUUUGAAGCAAGCCCUUUAUAUAUAGCUGCUAAACAAUGUUUAUUGGAACAUGUACAUAAUGUAACUGAAUUUAUGCCAAAACCACAUUAUGUAUUUAAUCCACAAAAAUCUGAUACUAAUAGUAAAGAAGUGAAAUAUGCAACAAGGAUAUCCAAACUUUUAGACGAUUCCAUCUACUGGAAUACACUUUUUAAAAUUAUUCCAGUUGUAAAAGCAUUUACUAAAACAUUGUCGCAAUUAACUAGAUAUAAUUUGGCGCACAUGGAUGCUAAAGUUGAAGAAGAUUGUGCUAAGCUAGCAUUAUUAUGUUUAGAAUUAACACAUUGGAUGAUACAUGUAGAUAAAGAAAAUAUUAGAAAGUUACGACCAAGUGAAGUAGAGUUAGCAUUGAGUUGUGCUGCAGAAGUUUUGAAACACGAAGGCCCAUUCAAGAUCUUUGCAGACAGCACUCGAUACUCGUGGGUAUGUUCUUCGAUACUGGCUAUGACCAAAAUAGUUGAAAACAAUUUAACGACGGUUGAAUCGUUACCUCACGUUGAUACGUACUCGUUACAACCAGCUUUUAAAGACGAAGAAACGAAGCAUUAUGCGAAGGCAUGCGUGCAGAUAGCAUCACUGGUUGUUUGGCUUGAAAAAUGUCAUACUAAUAAUAGUUCGAAAAACAUUCCUCCUUAUUUAUUUAAUUUAAUUAAAAGUCUUAUUGUACUUAUUAGUCGUCAACCUUUGGUAAAUUCUUUUGUUCUAACGCCUCCUUUGGUUUGGAAACAUGGUUGGCAUAUAAUGGGCUCUGGUACAACUAAAUGCCAUUUUCCAUUGUUAUCAACCGAAUCAAAUCUUCUACAAGAGGUCGACAUUUUAGAACAAUUCAUAUAUAGAAUUAAUUUGUUGGGUUGGACUUCGCGAUUACAAUUUGAAGAAAUAUGGAUGGCGUUAUUGGGAUUGUUAAAUCUUUCACAAAAUGAACAUACUUCUUUGGAAGAAACAACAGCGUUAGUACAAGCAAGCUGUUUAGCUAUUCAAGCUAUAACACAGUUAUUAUUACAAACAAUGCUUAUACCACAUCCUGGUAAUCCAAUUACCAGUUGUUUGAUUCAUCAUUCACGAGACCCUCAACUUUCGGUAGUGAAAAUAAGCUCACAAAAAUUAUAUACCAUACAAGAUUUAUUGACAUGGAAAUUCGAAUGUAUGAGUGAUAUUCAGAAUAUAAAUGGUCUCAGAUUAGAUCAUAUAUUUCAUAGAGGAAACAUAGAAAAGAUUAGAACUUCAGAUAACUUUACUUAUAGUCAAUUAUCAGUUUCCUAUUUAUGGUCGUCGUGUAAUUUAUACGAAGAUAAAUUGAAUGCCUCUGUUCUUGAAUUAAAAAAUAGAAGAAAUGAUGCAUUGAAGACUGCAUCAUUAGAUGUAGAUUCGUGUCUUCGAUUUUUAGUGGAACUUUAUACUUCUUGGUUGUCGCCACAAGCGAAUAUUCCAAUACAAUUACUCACUGAAACUAUGAAAUCUCUCCUAGCCAUCUCUGAUCUCUUUGUUGAAAGAGCGCAAUAUCAAUGGAUAUUAGAUGUUUGCUUAGAAAUUUCAAGAGUACAUCCAAUAGAAAAUGGAAUCUUAUAUCAGUAUUUGGUAAUAUCUGUAUGUAAGGCUGCCGCAGUAUUAACUCCACUGGAUUUGGAUACAUUGGAAAGGGUGAAACGUUUGAUUGACAUCAACCUUAAAUCGGUUUUCUUAGCUGCUAGAGUCGCAGCACUUCAUGGUGUCUUGUAUUUAUUACAAAGUGCAGUUCAGGCUAAUUACGAAGAAAUUAUGAAUAUUUUACAUCCAUUGACUAUCGAGUAUAUACAAAAACACAUAGACAAUCAAGAUACAGAUGGGGUAUUAAAUCAAAGCGAGGAACAUCAAGGUAUUAUGUGGGCCUUAGUAUUUUUCUUAUUAGAACAUGCAGGAGAUACGCCGUCGGAUACGGAAGCUCCUGCUGUGCUUGAACUAGUUCUUUCUCUAGUCAUGUCACCGAAUAUUUCAAUUAGUUUACAUCAAACUCUUUUACAGGGUCUUGAAAGAUUAAUUAUAACAAAAAGUGUAACGGGUAAAGUUGCUGAACAAAUUGUUAAAGUAGCAACGGAACGUUUAGGACACAUAAGUCCGAUGUAUGCGUUACCUGCUUUGCAACUUUUAUUAACAUGCAUGUAUACAGAAGCAGCAGAUAGAUUAAAUCAGCCAAAUGUUGAAGAACCAUUACCGGGUAUUGAACCAGAAUCAUUGGUUCGAUCUAUUGAACGAACGUCUGCCAUAUUUGAUAGAAUUAAGAGAGGCUAUCCAAUGGAAGUAGAAAUUCUAUGUUCAGUUUUAUCAAGUGUUUUAGCAGAUUUCUUUCCACCAUCCGAAAUCUUGACUAAAGUUAUAGGUGAAUUUUUAUCACCCCAACAACCACAUCCUAGAUUGCUUUCAGGCGUAGUGUUUAAAGUCUGUGAAAGAGCAUGUACGUCUACAAAAAUGAGUUUAUUGCAAGAUUGGGUGGUCUUCAGUUUGCCAAAUUUUAUACAGAGCUUACCAUUGGCUAUGUCCACUUGGUGUCUUUCUUGUUUCUUUAUAAGCGCAUCUACGAAUAAUUGGUUGAGAGCUUUAUUCCCACAUGUACAAUCAAGGAUUGGAAAGUAUGAAUACGAGGAUAAAAAGAUUUUGUGUAUAGCAGCUAAUGAUUUUUAUCAUAAGUUGCCCGAGGAAUCUCAAAGAAAAGCUUUCGUCGAGACAUUCGAAGUUGCAGCUAAAGAACCUGGAAAUCCAUUCAUUGAUAUAUUAGCAUCCUUUUAGUUAUCUAAAUUGUAUAUCCUAUUACGGAAAGAAAUUUAUUCGAAAAGAAACAUUUUUUAAUAAUAUUUCAAGUGAUUCUUCUACUCUUGUAAAUUAGUGUACAGUAAUUGUGCGUUUAUCUCAUUAUCUUUUAAAGACAAGGAUAUUACGCUGCAUCCAAGGAACAAACCAGCAGCUCCACCGAUUGAUGCUGAAUUAAGAAAAUAAAAAAAAAUCUAUUAAAAAAGAAGAAGAAUGUAAAAUAAAUUGAUAAAUUUUUUAGACGUACUUAAGAGAUCUCCAAAAGUGUACCAUUCUCUACGUUUAUAUUUGUUUUUCGAAAAAUCUACUGUCAUUGUUAAA
rnacentral:misc_RNA from 1 species